rnacentral:lncRNA from 1 species
ACCAUUUGAUACCAUCUGUUUCUCACACACAUCCAUGAGGGAAGAAUCAUUCCCAUUUAACAGACAAUGUAACUGGGCCUGAAUAUAGCUCAGCGACUUGCCCCAGGCCCACCAGGAAGUGGAUAAAGCCAUGCUCAACCCAGCACUUCUUCUCUCUACCUUCCACCGAUCCUGCCUGCUCAUCUUCCCUCCUUGGUGAAGGCAUGUGUGCUGUGCUCUGCUUAACUAAUUUCCCUCAGAUAUUCGCAUUUCUGUCUUUACAAUUUGGCAUCCCAGUGAGGUUUCCCUUUGUAUAUUUUCCGGUUCCUAUAUUCCCAUUAUUCAGGUAUCAUCACUCAAUAACCAUUUGACAGCAGUAAUGCUUUUCACAUGGAAAGAAUUGGGUUUUUAUUGAUGGCAAAUGUUGUGAUGAACUUUCAUGCCCACUUGGAGCCGGAGCACUUUUUUAUAGAAUGAACCACAAUGAGAAGCGUUUCCAAGAAAUGUCUUUGGAGUGUGGACUGAGAUGUACGUUUAGGAACAGGUCCUGUGGCCAGAGUGGGGAGAGAGGGGGCUUCCCAUUGUCAAAAUCUCAUCAAUCAAAAUGUAUAAUAGCAACAUUAUUAAUAACCCUAUAGUUGCAUUGCACUUGGUGCUCUUCCAAGCACUUCCCUAGAAUCCUAAAAUGAAGGCAGGGCAGAUAUUAUAUCCAUGUUACAGGUUAAACAACAUUGUAACAGGACUGAUAACACCAUGAAUGAGAAGUCAUUUGAUCAAUGGAACUCAACCAUCUCAUGCUCCUACUACCAUGGUUGACGAGGAAGCUGAGCCACCAGACAGAGCAGUGGUGACCUACAGAGCCGUGCUUUCAUGACCAUAUGGCCUCUCAGCCGCGGGACUUGCCACACUGUCCCAUACAAUCCUCUGUCAUUUUAGUAUCUGUCACUGCCAGGUCUUCUUCACACCAGCUUGUGAGAAAAAAUGGUGCAUCACUUCUCAAUCCUGGUUUUAGUGACAUCAUAUUGAUAGCUUGAACUUUGCCAUAUUUACAUCACAGAAAUCAGUAAACACCAUUAAAAAGGC